rnacentral:tRNA from 1 species
GAAAGUGAAAGGAAAGGUGAUAGGGACUUUUAAUCCGUAGGUCCAGGGUUCGAGUCCCUGCGCCUUCA